AAUUGUGUCAAAGGUGAGAUUUUCUGAAAGUCUAGAGCAGGGGUCACAAACUCAAAGGCCUUUAGGAACCGGAAAGACAAGGUCUCACUCUGUCACCCUCGACUAGAGUACAGUGGCAGGAUCUCCACUCACUGCAACCUCCACCUUCCAGGGAAUCAGCUGGCUGGAGGAAUUUUGGAAGGGGUGAGGCAUACACUUUCUUCUAUGUUCCUGAAACCACAACAUUGUUAGGACUCAUCUGUUCAUGAGACCAGACCAAUAGAAAAUGAGCACUUCGUGGAUAAAAAAUACAGAUGGAAACUUAGUGGUAUUCCAAAGCUGAGACUGAGACUGAAUGCUAAUAGGGGACACAAUUAUGAAUUGAAAAUAGUGCUGCUCCUCAAAGAGAUAAUUCGGGGUAGGUUUGAAGAUAUUUAUUCUGAGAAUUCUAAUGGCAUUAAUUUUCAGUUCCAUCUAGCCAAGUGAUUUACAAUGGAGUCUUGUUCUGUCGCCCAGGCUGGAGUGCAGUGCCACUAUCUCAGCUCACUGUAACUUCUACCUCCCGAGUUCGAGCAAUUCUCCUGCCUCAGCCUCCUGAGUAGCUGGGAUUACAGGCUUGCACCAAAACAUCAGAUCUUCCUGGGUCUUGAGAUAGCUAGUUUUCAGACUGCAACUACACCAUCAUCUCUCCUGGUUCUCAGACCUUCAGACUUAGACUGAAACUUACAUAAUCAGCUCUCCUGGUCUCCAGCUUGCUGACAGCAGACUUUAGGACUUGUUAGACUCCACAGUGAAAGAUCACUCUGACUGCUACAUGGAAAAUGUGCUGGGGAGAAACAAGACUGCAGGAAAUAAGAGCAGUGAACAAGCUCUUGCUGUAAUUCAAGUCAGGUGUAGAAGCUGGAGCUGGAGCAGCCAUUCUGAACUAUGUCGAAAAUCUACCUGGAAAUAAAAAGUUGACUCACCGAUUCACACCAUUUCCAUUUGUCUUGGUCUGGCUUUGGUGUCGGGGCAUUUCCAGUCUCAUAAAAUGACUUUGCGUAACACAUGGAAACUAAUGGUGUUCUACAAUUGCUGAAGCAAGUGUAACACUAAAGGAAUGUAAGCUUCAUGAGGCCACAGAUUUUUGUCCUUUGUGUCUGAAUCCCCAGGUCCCAGAAAAGUGAAUAGACAUAGAGCAGGGGUCCCCACUUCCGGGCCGUGGACCUGAACCAGUCCCCAUGACCUGUUAGGAACUGGCUGCACAGCAAGAGAAGCCUUAUGGAAAGAUUCCUGUGGCUGACCCAGGAGUAGUGGUGAAUUUCUCCAUCAAAAUCUAGGCUGCAGGAGCAGAUCUGAAAAGGACAUGCCAUUCUUUUGCAACAGAAAAAUACCAGACUAAGGCACUCGAGAUUCUCAAAACUUCUGAUUGAAUGUGGUAUAUUUCAUGUUUACUCACUGCCCAUUAGCCAAAGCAAGUCACAUGGCCAAGCCUAAUAUCAAAGGGGUUGGGACAUAAGCUCCCCCUAUAAGAUGGUGCUUUAUGUCACAUGGCAACAGAGAGGGUAGAGAAUAACUGAAAAUGAUGGCACUAUGUACUACAGUAACUCUAUCCUGUUGCUCUGACAAGAUAAGAUCAAAACGUACUGAGCUCAUCUAAGUGUUAGAGAUACUAUAAGGAAUAAAGCUAUCCUUUUUUUAUGAAACUUAAA
ensembl:lncRNA novel transcript